ensembl:snRNA U6 U6 spliceosomal RNA
UCUUUAAAAAAAAAAAAAAAGAAAGACUAGAGAGAAAAUUAACAUGGUCCCUGUUCAAGGAUGAUAAACAAACUCUGAAGCAUUCCAUAUUUUU